rnacentral:rRNA from 1 species
AUGCACGGGCCAAUAGAGCUCCCUCCCUAUCUCUUACGAAGCUCUCCCUACGUCCCACUUCAGAGCAGCCGGUCGUGCUUCUUUCCAACCCAACUUCUGCAUCGCCGCAGAUCAGCCAAAGGAGCUGCUACCUGCAGCCAAGCUCACCUUCCGCGCCGCUACAGAUCAGCUAGUCACGCUCACGCAAAUUCUCUGAAAGAAAUUCUUCAUGACAUCUUCCAGAACCUACCUGUUCAGAAAAACAAAGUAAGAGAGCAGACAUAUGCAGCACAAUUACCAUCUCGGAACUUGUGGUGUGACACCAUCAAAGUACAAAAAAGAUAUAUGAAUAUACUGUUUCCUUAUUUAUUUAAUUUUAUUCCAGAUUACAGUUGA